AAGCUGAUUCACAUCAGUAGAAAAUGCUAUGGCUUGCUGGAAUGCCAUUGUACUCGUCUUGGUCUACAGUCUCAUGGUCUGCUCUUGGAUCUGCUAGCAUUGUCUUUAGAAAUACUUUGUAUUACAUUUUAAUUACUUUUUCUAAUGUUUAAUACUUAAAUACUUUUUUUUCUAAAUCAUAGUUAGCAUUUUAGUAGCUGUCAAUAUCAAAUUAUGACUACUAGUUGACUGUUAACAGAAAUGAGUCUGUCAGGUUGCCCAUGUCUUCUAAUACUGUAGCUGAAAUUCUGCUGGAAUCUAGUUGGUCUUUUAGGUAACACUUCUUCAAUGAGCAGGAUUGUGUCUUCCCUUGGAGGUGUUUUGGUCAUGAGAUUGUAAGCUUAAAUUUUAAGCUAGCAAUAGUGUGUGUGCCUUUAACAUCGAAUAGAACAAACUGUUCUAAUUUCUAAUGCAUAGAGAGAAAGGAAUGUUCAGCUGAUGGGGGAAGGCAUGUCACAGGAUUUAUAACAAGUAAGGAGACAGUAAAUAAGACCAAGGAUGUCAGCCUUCAAAAUAACAGAAUGGUGCCCAACAUGGAGCGAGACUGGAACAGAAGCAAGAACAUAACUGCUAACUAAGUACUAGGACCUUGUGAGCAUGCACAAACACUGAGGUUAUUCAGUAAACACAGUGAGGAAGACUAUCAAUGACCACCAGGGACCCCCACUUAGCAAGAAAACACAUGAGUAAUUAGGAUACAGAUAUUAUAAUUAGUUCCUGGAAAUGCUGUGCAUAUGCAUGAGUAUGCUAAAUAUAUAGCUGCUGCCAGCAAGUAAUGGGUGCACUCACCUUUGCAGAAUGAUUUACAUGUGCGCCCAGCACUGAAAUAAAGAAUGCCUUAUUUCUAUAACUCUGAAUUGAGUCAGAGAGUUUCUCCGACUGACUUUUAUGGUAACCAAGAUCAUUCUUCAAAACUGCAGGGCACUGCUGCAUAGUAAAAAUGAAUAAUAUUCUGCCUACUUUGAGUAAUAUGUGGGAAAGGGUGCUAUCUCAUCAUCUGGUACACCAGUUUGAGUCAUGCCUCAUUGUUAGCUUCAUUAUAUUACUAUAUUAAGCUGAUUCUUCGGUGGGUAGAUGGGUUGUGCACAGGACUUACUGUUACAAAAGCCAUUAAGAACUCUGCUCAGGGAAAAGGGGGUAGUAGGAAACCAGUAGGACUUUUCAGUGUGUUGUGAUGUUUUGUUUUGUUGAGUAUUCUGUUUGUUUAGGGAAAUAGCAAAAAAAUAUACUAUGGAAAAUUGAACUUGGAACUGCAGGUCACUGUUUGUAUCAAGUGUGGAAGACUGACACUGGUUGUUUGCUAACUUUAUUAGUGGUAGUGUUCUUUUUUAAAUAAUCUGUUGUGUAAGAUUUGUUUGCCAGGGAAUUUGCAUGGUAUCACUGUUCAGAGAUGAAAUCUGGCAAUUUUGUGUGUGCUUUGUCCAGAAAAAUAUUCCAAAGCUGACUGUGUACCCCCAUUAGGAGGAUGAUAUGGGAAAGAUAAACCUAACACUGCAUCUUUACCUGAUGCUCCUGUUUGUAGGUAACCAGUUUGAUUAAACUCAUCCCCUGUUUCAGAGACAAGGAAUUCUGAAGUGAGACCUCCCAAAACAGUAUCAUUGCCUCUAACUGCCUAAACAGGAAGACAGAUUCCUUUAGGUACUUGGGCAAUGCUUCUUGACGGUGAUGCAGGUCCACUUUCAGUUCCUGUCACAAGCUGUGCAGAAAGUCCAGCCAGUGGCACACUCUUGCUUUGCUGAAGCUGUAGCCCAGGAGAAAAAGAAUGUUAGUGGAGCCAGAACCUCAAGUUUAAGCCCCACAAAUGAGCUAGAAGAUGCAAUAAGAUCAUGGAGAGGAGCAGCAGAGACAACAUCUCAACUACGAGAAAGAGGCUGUGAUGGAUGUUUGGCAGGAAUUGAAGUUCAGCAACUUUUCUGCUCACAGAGUGUGGCAGUCCCUGAACAUCAGAUCAAAUUACUAAACAUGAAAAUUGACAGUGCUUUGCAGGUAAUUUUUCAAGUCUACUUCUUUCAUGUGCAUGUAUGUCCUGGGUUCAGCUGUAACAGUUAUAUUUCUCCUUCCUAGAAGCUGGUGCAGUGCUGUGAUUUUUUAUUUUAGUCUAAUAACAAUGAUAAUAACACA